rnacentral:lncRNA from 1 species
GGGACUGCGGGCUGUGGAGCCUCCCUACGUCUGUGAGCCGACCCAGACAGGAAUGCUGUGCUCACUAACAAGGGGCUUUCAUACCAGAUAUGAGGUACAGAGUUGGUAAGAAAAGAAUCACUUCCUUCCUCUUUUCCCAGAAGAAAUAUACCAUGUAUCUUUAUUAUAGUAGCAUGUGGCUUUCUUCUAACUAAAGAAACUCAUAAAAUUGUUAUGAAUGUGAAAUAAACA